rnacentral:rRNA from 1 species
GGGUCUCGCUCGUUACCUGACUUAACAGGAUGCUUCACAGUACGAACUGACGACGGCCAUGCACCACCUCUCAGCUAAUCCGGCAAAGUCUUCAGCCUGGCCUUCAUAUUGCUGUCGGUCCCGGUAAGAUUUCCGGCGUUGAAUCCAAUUAAACCGCAAGCUCCACCCGUUGUGGUGCUCCCCCGCCAAUUCCUUUAAGUUUCAGCCUUGCGGCCGUACUUCCCAGGUGGCUCGCUUCACGGCUUCCCUACGGCACCGACAACGGUCGCACCGUGGCCGACACCUAGCGAGUAUCGUUUACGGCUAGGACUACCCGGGUAUCUAAUCCGGUUCGUGCCCCUAGCUUUCGUCCCUUGCCGUCAGGUCCGUUCUGGUGAGACGCCUUCGCCACUGGUGGUCCUUCAAGGAUUACAAGAUUUCACCCCUACCCCUGAAGUACCUCUCACCUCUCCCGGCCUCGAGCCAGACAGUAUCUCCUGAAAGCCUGACAGUUAAGCUGCCAGAUUUCUCAAGAGACUUAUCCGGCCGGCUACAGACCCUUUAGACCCAAUAAUAACGGUUACCACUCGAGCCGCCGGUGUUACCGCGGCGGCUGGCACCGGUCUUGCCCGGCCCUUGCUAUGAAAUGCUUUUUAGGCAUCUCGACAGCCAGAUUUGUAACCUGGCACUCGAGGUUCCCUUAUCGCUGUUGCCAGCAUUGUAAAGUUUUCGCGCCUGCUGCACCCCGUAAGGCCUGGAUUCGUGUCUCAGAAUCCAUCUCCGGGCUCUUGCUCUCACAACCCGUACCCGUCGUAGGCUAGUAGGUACGCUACACCCACUACUACCUGAUAGGCCGCAGACCCAUCCUUAGGCGCCGGAGCUUUAAAUCUCGAUGCAUUCCAGCAAUCGAGACCUAUCGGGUAUUAUACCCAGUUUCCCGGGUUUAUCCCCGUCCUAAGGGCAGGUUGUCCACGUGUUACUGAGCAGUUCGCCAUGUAUUGCUACAUUCGACUCGCAUGGCUUAGUCGAACCUCGAUAGCAGUAACCUCUGGCAGGAUCAACCGG